UAGUGGAGAGAUUUUAGAAUAUGCCACU
rnacentral:sRNA from 1 species